UGGCCUGUCGGUUAAUCCGGUAAACCAACGCCCUGUUAAGGCGUGACUCUAGGUUCGAAUCCUGGUGGGCCAG
rnacentral:tRNA from 1 species